rnacentral:rRNA from 1 species
GACGAACGCUGGCGGCGUGCUUAACACAUGCAAGUCGAACGGAAAGGCCUGCUUUCCCUUGUGGAUUGCGGGUACUCGCGUGGCGAACGGGUGAGUAACACGUGAGUGAUCUGCCCCCAACUUGGGUAUAAGCCUGGGCAACUGGGUCUAAUUCCCGAUAGGACUGCAGGGUGGUGCCUGUGGUGGCAAACGAUUUUCUAGUGGUUGGGGAUGAGCUCGCGGCCUAUCAGCUUGUUGGUGGGGUAAUGGCCUACCAAGGCGGCGACGGGUAGCCGGCCUGGGAGGGUGGACGGCCACAGUGGGACGGAGAUACGGCCCAGACGCCUACGGGAGGCAGCAGUGGGGAAGAUGGCACAAGGGGCGGAAGCCUGAUGCAGCGACGCCGCGUGGGGGAUGACGGCCUUCGGGUUGUAAACUCCUUUCGACCGCGAGGAAGCCACCUGGUUGGAAGGGUGGUGACGGUAGUGGUAGAAGAAGCACCGGCUAACUACGUG